rnacentral:rRNA from 1 species
CAGCAGCCGCCGCGGUAAUACGUAGGGUGCAAGCGUUAAUCGGAAUUACUGGGCGUAAAGCGUGCGCAGGCGGUUAUAUAAGACAGAUGUGAAAUCCCCGGGCUCAACCUGGGAACUGCAUUUGUGACUGUAUAGCUAGAGUACGGCAGAGGGGGAUGGAAUUCCGCGUGUAGCAGUGAAAUGCGUAGAUAUGCGGAGGAACACCGAUGGCGAAGGCAAUCCCCUGGGCCUGUACUGACGCUCAUGCACGAAAGCGUGGGGAGCAAACAGGAUUAGAUACCCGCGUAGUCCCUGUCUCUUAUAC